AUUUUUUAUCCUCUUUUCUCCUUAUUUGACUUCUCUCCUCUCCCUUUUUCCCCUCUACUUUUCCCAUCUCAAAACCUCAAGAUUUUGGGGUUGAGAAAGCUAAGGAAUAUUCAGCUAUGGGUCAUGAUUACCAGCAUGAAUCAUUCAUGGGAGCAGUUGAAGAUGAUGGUAGUGUCCAUAUUUUGCAAGGGAAAGAACUGCAUGAAGUUCACUCAGGACCAAACCCUAUCAGCAAUUCAAUUCCACAACAGAGAUUGGAAACAAAGUUGAGAAAAUUAUUACCAUAGCUUCUUCUUCUUCUUCCUUUUUACUUUUUUUUUUUUAAAUUACAAAAAAUAGUUGCAAAAAUGCUUUUUUAUUGGGGAAUUCUAGAUUGCUUCUAGUUAUC